CAGGCCUAACACAUGCAAGUCGAACGGUGAAGCACCUUCCUUUUGGUGGGUGUGGAUGAGUGGCGAACGGGUGAGUAACACGUGAGUAACCUGCCCCCUUCUUCUGGAUAACCGCAUGAAAGUGUGGCUAAUACGGGAUAUUCUGUGCCUGCUGCAUGGUGGGUGUGGGAAAGAUGCGCCUUUGGGUGUUUUUGGUGGGGGAUGGGCUCGCGGCCUAUCAGCUUGUUGGUGGGGUGAUGGCCUACCAAGGCGGUGACGGGUAGCCGGCCUGAGAGGGUGGACGGUCACACUGGGACUGAGACACGGCCCAGACUCCUACGGGAGGCAGCAGUGGGGAAUAUUGCACAAUGGGCGCAAGCCUGAUGCAGCGACGCCGCGUGAGGGAUGGAGGCCUUCGGGUUGUAAACCUCUUUCGCCAGUGAAGCAGGCCUGUCCCUUGUGGGUGGGUUGACGGUAGCUGGAUAAGAAGCGCCGGCUAACUACGUGCCAGCAGCCGCGGUAAU
rnacentral:rRNA from 1 species